CACGAACACUCGUUCUUCAUGCCAGUCUCUGUCUGCUGACUCCUGUGCUGUGCUGACAGAACCAUUUGCAGCAGCUCCUACUGAAUUUGAUCAGAAAACUGAUGCAGGAGGAUCUGACGUUAUUCUGAAAAUGCCAUGACAUGGUACUUGCAAAUGCUCCUGUGAACUGAAGCAAAUCGUGCCUGGGAAAUGUGAAGGAUGAGAGAGGAACUGGAAAGUGAGGUUCGCCUGGCUUGAAGAAGAAGGGAGAUGUACCAAAGCUGUGAUGGAGACAGCUACCCUGAAAGUGGAGACAUCUUCAGUGCUGUUUGUGUAAACGGGAUCAACCAGUAUCAGCCACCCCACCAGGAGGAUGUAAUUCAAGCUGCAAGAAAAAUGCUGGCUCAGUGUAAUGAAGUGCUGGAUUGCAAGCAUUUCGAGUCACAAAGCACUUGUAAAUGCUGAGACAUCACAUUUACAGUGUAUUUGUUUCAUGGUUGCUGUAACGAUGCAGUCAACUGGAUUACUUUUUAGAUCCUCUGGGCUUUCUUGGUGAGUGCCUUUACCAUUUAAAAUUAAGAAUCUGAUUGACUGUGAAUCAUUAAGUAAAACAGAAAAACGGUGGGAAAAUAACUGUGUCUUGCCUAUUCUUCCA